rnacentral:misc_RNA from 1 species
UUUCCGUAGGUGAACCUGCGGAAGGAUCAUUACAGAGUUCAUGCCCUCACGGGUAGAUCUCCCACCCUUGAAUAUUUAUACCUUAGUUGCUUUGGCAGGCCGUGGAAACACAUGGGCUCCGGCUUAUGCGUGCCUGCCAGAGGAAACAAACUCUGUUUUUAGUGAUGUCUGAGUACUAUAUAAUAGUUAAAACUUUCAACAACGGAUCUCUUGGUUCUG